rnacentral:rRNA from 2 species
GUUCUUCCGGCGCCUUUUCUAGCGGCGGACGGGUGAGUAACACGUGGGCAACCUGCCUCAUAGAGGGGAAUAGCCUUCCGAAAGGAAGAUUAAUACCGCAUAACAUUGUUGAAAGGCAUCUUUUAACAAUCAAAGGAGCAAUCCGCUAUGAGAUGGGCCCGCGGCGCAUUAGCUAGUUGGUGAGGUAACGGCUCACCAAGGCGACGAUGCGUAGCCGACCUGAGAGGGUGAUCGGCCACAUUGGAACUGAGACACGGUCCAGACUCCUACGGGAGGCAGCAGUGGGGAAUAUUGCACAAUGGGGGAAACCCUGAUGCAGCAACGCCGCGUGAGUGAUGAAGGUCUUCGGAUUGUAAAGCUCUGUCUUUAGGGACGAUAAUGACGGUACCUAAGGAGGAAGCCACGGCUAACUACGUGCCA